UGCCCCUUAGCUCAGUUGGUAGAGCAAGCGACUGUUAAUCGCUGGGUCCGCGGUUCAAGCCCGCGAGGGGCAGCCA
rnacentral:tRNA from 1 species